rnacentral:rRNA from 1 species
UACGAAGGGGGCUAGCGUUGUUCGGAAUUACUGGGCGUAAAGCGCGCGCAGGCGGCUAUCCAAGUCAGUGGUGAAAGCCCGGAGCUCAACUCCGGAACUGCCAUUGAAACUGUUUAGCUUGAGGACGAGAGAGGUGAGUGGAAUUCCGAGUGUAGAGGUGAAAUUCGUAGAUAUUCGGAAGAACACCAGUGGCGAAGGCGACUUACUGGACACAUAUUGACGCUGAGGUGCGAAAGCGUGGGGAGCAAACAGG